rnacentral:lncRNA from 1 species
GGAUAUCAAGUGAGAAGAGGGAAACCUUUUUCACUUCUAAAAUUCAGCAAUAAAAGGAAGAAAUUGAAGCUAAUCACCUGCAUGUUCAUCUCAAUCGAACCAUCUUAGCAUUCUAAACAUAAGUUAGGAUGAUGGUUGGAUCAAAGAAGAAAGCUCAAGUUGUUCCGGAUCGCAAACGAACAACGACAAAGAUAAGUUCAUUCGCUUACAAGUAAUAGUAGAUUGUUAUAUUUGGAUGGUCAUUAUUAUUCUAGAAUUUGAAUCUUCACAUGUGCAACGGGUUAGUAUAAUUUGAAGAUGUGAUGAGAAUAUGAGAUGAAUGCGUAGAAUGAAUGUCACGCCAAGUUGGGAGGUUAUGUUUGAAUGAAGCUUUAAAUUGAUUUUCUUGUAGUUUUACUAGUAAAUUUUAAAGUCAUAUGAACUUACGGCUUAAAUGGUAAAUUGGUUGUUGAAUGUAGGUAAAGCAACUUGAUGGAUGGCGCUAUUUGGAUCGAACACACUUAUGAUGCACGCUUCCGCAAAGAUAAUAACUAUGGUUUAAACGUUUGAUAAAAGGUCGUGUUAAAACGGGUCUUUUGUAUGUAACUUAGUCCGGUAGUUGUUAGAUAUGAACUUGUAGUUAAAAAUUAUGUUAAUCCUUUAAGGAAUAUUUGGGUCAUAAAUUCUUUUGUAAUUAU